ensembl:snRNA U6 U6 spliceosomal RNA
GUGCUUGCUUCAGCAGCACACAUACUAAAAUUGGAAUGAUACAGAGAAGAGUAGCAUGCCCCCUGCGCAAGGAUGACACACAAAUUCGUGCAGCAGUCCACAUUUUU